GACGAACGCUGGCGGCGUGCCUAACACAUGCAAGUCGAGCGGGAACCUCAGGAGGGGUAACCCUCCUGAGGGGAGAGCGGCGAACGGGUGAGUAACACGUGGGCAACCUGCCCCGGACACCGGGAUAACCCAGGGAAACCUGAGCUAAUACCGGAUACUCCGGCGAGAUCGCAUGGUCCCGCCGGGCAAGCCACGACGGUCCGGGAUGGGCCAGCGGCCUAUCAGCUUGUUGGUGGGGUAACGGCCCACCAAGGCGACGACGGGUAGCUGGUCUGAGAGGACGGCCAGCCACACUGGGACUGAGACACGGCCCAGACUCCUACGGGAGGCAGCAGUGGGGGAUCUUGCGCUAAUGCGCGAAAGCGUGACGCAGCGACGCCGCGUGGGGGAUGAAGGCCCUCGGGUUGUAAACCCCUUUCGGCAGGGACGAAGCGAAAGUGACGGUACCUGCAGAAGAAGUCCCGGCUAACUACGUGCCAGCCGCCGCCGUAAUAC
rnacentral:rRNA from 1 species